rnacentral:lncRNA from 1 species
CAGUUCUGAUAUGCAGAUAAAGGCCCCAUGCUCUCUGAGCUUGAUGCCAUCAAACCAUCAAACAUGAAGUCAGACCAACUCUUUGGAUCAUCUGUAACUUAACCGCAGGGAGAGGAAGUGCAAACCAGAUGGAUGUGAGCAGCUGGUACUUGCAUUUCUCACAGGACAUUAGCAAAUUGGUGCCUUUGUGAUGCCAAGUUCUCCUGUGAGCUUUGUUAGCCCAACUCAACCUUGGGAACAUCAGGAUGUGAGGAUGGUCAUGCAUCAUAAUUGCAAGCAUUACUUUUCUGUUUGGGAAAGGAUAUUAACCCUCAGAGAUCUGGAAUACUGCAAACAAUUGGCAAUGUCAAUUCCUUCCAUUUUUAGGAGUACUAACUGUCUGUGGGGCUGAGACCAAAUGUCUGGCCCUCCAUAGCUCUGCUUCUUCACCUGAAAUGGUAGUAACAGUUCCUUCACUGCCUGUGGCUCCAUCUCUGCAGUGGUUUUCAGCCUCUAGAGAAGCACAAACUCAACAUGUGAUGACUCCAAAGUUCAAAUGUAUGAUGACUCCAAAAGCUCUUAUCUUUGUUAAAUGUCACACCCUUCAUGCCACAGUCAGCAAAACCAGUCAAAUCAUCAGAUUCUACCACAUCAAAUAAAACACUUCCCAUUGGAGACAUUGACCCCUACUAAUACUGUGUUUCCUUAGGAGAGAUAUUCUGUUAAGUGGUAAAGCAUAUUGUUUAGAAAGGCAGUCAUUCAAAGCUCAUGCUUCUUUUCCUAAACAGGUUAUUCCCAAAGAGAUAAUAUAGGAUUUCAGAAAAUUUAACAAAGGAAGCAAGUAUUAGGUAUUUACAAAGAGAACUGAGCACACUCUCAGCAAUUCCCAUGUGAGUAGAAGCCAGAUGCCUUGAAGACAUUUCAUAAGUAACUCAUUGCAUCAAAAUGAGAGGUUGAGUCAUUGUUAGUUCCUCAGAGAAUCAAAACCCAUCAUCUCCCCACCCAACACCAAAGCCCAUAUCCUCCGCCCAUAGCCCAUCUCUUCCAGAGAAUGGCCCCAGCUGUCCCAGAGGGAAGGCUGGGAGCCACCCUGGAUGCAGCCCUGUAGGAAACAAGUUGGAUCCUAAUCAUUCCCCUGUUCUAUCCAUCCCCUCCCACAUCCCCCCACCUCUUCCUACAAUCAUCUCACCACCACUUUGCCAUCUCCUAAUUACUUCCGUCCAUCACUUGUUUGCAAGUCUAUCUCCCUCACCACAUGAGUUCCUCCUUAUUCCCACCCAUCACACCCCCAACCUCAUAGUGCCUGGAGAACAUUUACCAUGCAAGACAAUUCCAAGACAAGUUCAAUAAAACUUAUCUGACUCACUUCUGCACCUCAGGUCCAUACUUCUAUGGUUUUAGAGUGAGAAUCCAACUACAUCUUUACUGAUUCCCUCAGAGCUUUGGGCAAUACUGAAUGCCUGCUGUGCCUGUAAUCUGCCUCCUACCCCAUCUUUAUCUCUUCCUAGACCCUCCUUGAGGUAUUUUGAUUCCUAACCACCUGCAGUUCUUCAAAGAUAUACCAGAUAUGGCAAAGCCAAGGUGAAGAGAGAGACAGUCCACACUGCAUGAAUGAGAGAUGGGUAGAGGGUAGGAAAGAGCCUUGAAAGACAGGCAGAAAGGAACACACUUCUUUCUGUUUGCAAUCAGAUCCCAUUUUAAGGCUUAGUCAUUCACAAGCAUUUACUGAGCUCCUAGUCUGUGCCAGGACAAGGGCUAGGAGGUGAGUGAUAAGCUGUGUCUUUCCCUCUAAGGGAUCAACAUAGGGUAGAUGGUGAAUUGGAAGCAGUAACACAAUAAAGUGACACAGAAUGUUGGGGACUUAAAUUAGGGGAAAUUAAGUCUGCAUUGGGAUUGGGGAGGCACUCAAAGAGGUCCUUUCAUAGGAAAUGCCGUUGGAAUUGUGCGCAAAAUGAUGUGGAGGCAGAGGAUGGACGGUGCCCUGUGGGGCUUCAAUACCUAGGAGGCUGUUUGAGGCAUAUUCAGGAUAGAGCAAGUACAAGGACAAGAAGAAAAUCCCUCCUUAUUGAACACUUUUCUGGCUUAGGUUCUUCCAUGAAAAAGGCAUCAUGAAAUUCUGUGGGAAAAAAUGUCCUACAGUGAGAUUCCAAUUAACAGUUACAGACCUGAAAACACCCACCCAAGCACUUCUUUAAUACUCUCCAAGCUCCAAGCUUCUCAAUGUGAGCCACUGUCUUUUUUUUUUUUUUUUUUUUUUUUUUUUGUCUUUUUGCCUUUUCUUGAGCCGCUCCCGCGGCAUAUGGAGGUUCCCAGGCCAGGGGUCUAAUUGGAGCUGUAGCCGCCAGCCUACACCAGAGCCACAGCAACAUGGGAUCUGAGCCACGUCUGUGACCUACACCACAGCUCACGGCAAUGCUGGAUCCUUAACCCGCUGAGCACGGGCAGGGUUCAAACCCACAACCUCAUGAUUCCUAGUCGGAUUCGUUAACCACUGCGCCACGACAGGAACUCCCAAUUUGACCUGGGAAGCCUAAUUUUGACAAUGGGUCCCUGAAUGAUUCCAUGGAGUAGGCCUCCCAUGCCCGCCCCUCCGUCACUGAUCAGACCCUCAAUGUGGCAGAAAUAAAUGUUAGUUGUGAUAAGCCACAGAAAGAGCAGAGCUUUCAAUAAGCAUGCAUAACUGCUGCUCUGCAUAAGUGCAAUUUUUGAAGAGACAGUCCAUGACAUUAUUAGAUUUUCCAAAAGGGUCAGUUUUCCCCAAAAUGCCAAGAUUCACUGUCUUACAUCAUCUCAUUUAACCAUGUGAGUUAAACAUUACUGAGGCUCAGUGAUUUAAAGUUUACUGAGCCAGUUCAUUUAUUGACUCGCUCAGCACAUAUUUACUGAACACUCUUUCUGCUCCCAACACCUUCUGUGCUGUUGGAACAUGCUGGAAAGCAAGAUGGUCCCGUCCUUGUGGAGGUGUGCAGGAAAGGAACCAGUGCUGGGGGGGGCCUCUAACUGGGGAGUGUGCCUACUCUGGGGGUAAGGGAAGGCCCAUGGAAAGGGAGAAAUAGCUGUGAACUAGACCCAUUUGGGCUGGAAGGGCACUGCCUGCCAAGGGAGGGGCCUACUUGGAUGCCUGGCAGGAGGACAGCAGCCAGGCCAUCAGGAAGCCAAGAGGCUCUGUGCAGAGGCCUGGAGCUCUAGGGAAGGGCAGAGAGUCAGGGAGGUGGCACAGCUGGGCCAUGGGGCAUGUAAUGGGGCCCAUGCUUACCGAGAGGCAGAAACCAUGCAGGAGGGUCCUCUCACCCAAGGCUAGUGCCAUCGUUUCAACAAUUCACUCAACAAACAAGCUGUGAGCCCUUCAAAUCCCAGCAAGCGGUCAGUGAAGGCACUGUCCCAGUGACCCUGUCAUCUCCUACCCCAGGGCCAGCCUGUCCUAGAGGACAGCCCCAAAGUGACUCAUCAGCACAUCUUUGGUGCAAUAGGAACAGAUGAAACAGCCAGAAUUUAAUUCAUAAUUGGUACUUUUUAUUUCCAUUUUCUUGAUCAUGGAGUUCAUGCAACCAGCCUUUUGGAGUGUCUGUCUAAAUGUCAGGGCUCACGCUCAGCUGCUUUGAUGUCUCAAUGCCUGUUUGAAAUGGAAAAUUGUCACAUUAAGAAGAUUAUGCAGAAUCCAUUUGUCACCACCAUUUUCCCAUGGCAGUGAUGUCUGCUUACCACCUGCCAUUAAAGUCGUACUGUAAAAGGCAAAAGGAAUGGAGACAAGUUAAGAUGCCAGAAACAUUCCAUGGUGGCAGGAAAUUUAAACAAGGGAGUAGAAUCCAGUUUUGGGGUGUUUGGGGGAGGAGUUUUGGCUGCACCCGUGGCAUGGGAAAUUCCCAGGGCAGGGAUCCAACUCAUGCCACAACAGCAACCCACACCACUGCAGUGACAACAUUGGAUCCUUAACUCUCUGAGCCACAAGGGAAAUCCCAGGAGCAAGGUCCAGUUUUUAAAUCAAAAAUACAACAGGCUUCAAACCCUGCCACGAUAUCUUCCCAAAAAGAGGUUCUGGAGAGAGAAUCAAGUCACCUGAACUCCAGCACCCUCACCAAGUUACUGGUUGGUCAACGCAGUUUACCUGGUGCCUACUCUUGCCUGCUCUGCAAUGAGAGGCACUGUAUAAAUAGCAGGGAUUUUCAGUCAACCAGAAUCUGAAUUAAUGCAAUGAAGUUGUCAAUGAAACUAUCUAGUAACAACGAUAAAAGGCAAAUUUGAAAGCUGUCCCCAAAGAGCCAAUAAGUAAGCAGAUCAGGUCAGAGUUUGUGAGGCAAGGACCUGGACCCAGCCGUGUGAUCCUAUCAUGCUGUCCCAGAAAGCUAAGCCCAGCACUGACAUGUGGGUGUCACAGACUCAGGACACCUGGUUAUCCAUAUGGAAAAAUGAACUUGGAUUGCUCCUGAACACUUGACUGAAAUAGCUAUGCCAGGUGGAUUAAAGAUGUAAAUGUGAAGAGGAGACUAUAAAAUACUUAAAAAGAUACAGAAGAUUGUCUUAUAACUUUAGGAUAGGAAAGGACUUCUGAAGCAAAACAUAAAAUACACAAACCAUAAAAGAAGGAUGGAUAAUUUUAACUACAUUAAACCCAAGAACAUCUGCACAUCAUAUGAGAUCACAAAGAGAGAGAAAAUGCAUCAUAACUGGGAAAAUAUGCUCUAAACAUGUAUAACUGAAUUAUCAACCAGCACAUACAAAGAAUUCUUCUGUCUUAAUAAGGAGAAGGCUAACAAGCCAAAGAACAUGGGCAAAAUAGGAGUUCCCUGAUGGCCCAGCAGGUUAAGGAUUCGGUAUUUUCACUUCUAUGGCUCUGGUCACUGCUGUGUCAAGGGCUCAAUUCCAGGCCCAGGAAAUUCCACAUGCUGUGGGUAC